rnacentral:rRNA from 1 species
UACGUAGGGGGCGAGCGUUGUCCGGAUUUAUUGGGCGUAAAGAGCGUGUAGGCGGCCCGGUAAGUCCGCUGUGAAAGUCGGGGGCUCAACCCUCGAAAGCCGGUGGAUACUGUCGGGCUAGAGUACGGAAGAGGCGAGUGGAAUUCCUGGUGUAGCGGUGAAAUGCGCAGAUAUCAGGAGGAACACCCAUUGCGAAGGCAGCUCGCUGGGACGUUACUGACGCUGAGACGCGAAAGCGUGGGGAGCAAACAGG